rnacentral:tRNA from 1 species
CUGCCCUUAGCUCAGUUGGAUAGAGCACAAGUCUUCUAAACUUGGGGUCACAGGUUCGAUUCCUGUAGGGCAGG